rnacentral:rRNA from 1 species
AUACGUAGGGGGCGAGCGUUAUCCGGAAUCACUGGGCGUAAAGGGUGCGUAGGCGGCCAAUAAAGUCUGGGGUGAAAGGCUACGGCUUAACCGUAGUAAGCCUUGGAAACUUGAUGGCUUGAGUGCAGGAGAGGAGAGUGGAAUUCCUAGUGUAGCGGUGAAAUGCGUAGAUAUUAGGAGGAACACCAGUGGCGAAGGCGACUCUCUGGACUGUAACUGACGCUGAGGCACGAAAGCGUGGGGAGCAAACAGGAUUAGAUACCCUGGUAGUCCACGCCGUAAACGAUGAGUGCUAGGUGUUGGAGGAGACAUCCUUCGGUGCCGCAGCAAACGCAUUAAGCACUCCGCCUGGGGAGUACGGUCGCAAGACUGAA